rnacentral:rRNA from 1 species
UACGAAGGGUGCAAGCGUUACUCGGAAUUACUGGGCGUAAAGCGUGCGUAGGUGGUUUGUUAAGUCUGUUGUGAAAGCCCCGGGCUCAACCUGGGAAUGGCAGUGGAUACUGGAAAGCUAGAGUGCGGUAGAGGGUAGUGGAAUUCCCGGUGUAGCGGUGAAAUGCGUAGAUAUUGGGAGGAACACCAGUGGCGAAGGCGGCUCACUGGACCGGUACUGACGCUGAGGCGCGAAAGCGUGGGGAGCAAACGGG